UAUCCGGAGUUUAGAAGUUGGACUUCCGUUUGCUAACAUUCUUUAGUAACAUUUGAAAAGACAUAAUUGGCAUCAAUAUCAUUAAGACAAUUGCCGGUUUACAGGUGUAUGAUUACUUAGUUAAAAAUAAUGUGGAAGAUACUAGUUGUGUCAGUCCUAGCUGUGUUGUCAUUGAGACAAGAUACAAAAGCAAUAACAGUAACUUGCCCAAACAAUGUUACAUCGAACAACUACGUUGGCAUGGAAUUCAGCGUUAUUGCAGUUAAAACCGACCCCGAAGCCAGUGUGGCCACUGUCACCUGGGACCUACCCAUUGUAACUAACAACAUUAGCCGUUUCAACGUGACGUCAUCGCUGUAUAAAUCAGGAGACGAAAUACCAAUUAUGACAAAUCACGUAAUCACAUUUACAGCCACAGAGUCUUCAGGAAACACAGAUACUUGUUUUUUUUGUGAUAUCUGUUAUCGAUAUUGAGGAUCCAAUUUGUACCAUCGACCCGCCAUCGUAUAUAGGCUCUGCAGAGAUGGAGGAACAGAAUUCUACAAUCAACUACGUCAUCACUGUUAGAGACAAUGUCCAAGUCAGCAGUAUUAAGACAGAUUGCAGUUUUAUUGAUAUUGGAAAUAGUGGUCAGGAGUAUAUUGUUGACAGAGCCAUAGAAGAAAUCGACAGCACAGGAACUUUCCCUAUUGGCGAGACUAUGGUUCUGUUUUCGGUUGUAGACAAUGCGAGUCCGAAUGGAAAUGAAGGAACCUGUUCAUUUGGUGUCACAUUAAGCGAAUACAUGCCGACAACUGAGAGAGCAGUUACAGAAGACAGUUCAGGACACCAAGUUUCAGGCUCAGUAACUGUCAAAGUGCUGACGUUGUUAAUGAAUUCUUUUGUGAAGCUCUAUUAUUUAAAUUAACACACAUCGUACUAAUAACGAUGGUGGGGCUGAGGUGGUUAUAUACCCUCAUGUGAAAGUCCUUCCCAGGGUCCCCUCUAUUUCGAAUUUCUGGAUCCGCCACUGCUGGCGAUCCCCUCAAAGCAUUGUACAAUCUGGGCGCCCCGACGCUUACGGGCACUCCGGAACUGUUUGACUACCUUUAACUUUACUUCACUCCCUAGGCUCAUAAUGCGAUUUAGUUUAUACAGAACAUGUUUUGUUAUGUCUUGUGAAGAGAUAUGCCACUUAGAAAAGUGAUGAAGUUCACUGUUAAUAAAAUAUUUUUUUUGUUUUAAAUUUCGUAGGAGUGAUGUAUUUGCCUAUAUUAUGAAAUUUCUUGACAAUUCCCUUGGGGAUCGGAUUCAAUACUAGCUUAUAAGCGCAGGGUCAGUGGUCUAGUAGUUACGACACCAUGCUAGUUAUCUAGAAGGCGUGGGUUCGAUUUUUACCCAAAUCAUUUACGGUAUACUUGAUGUUUGUGUGUUUUUAGGAAAUGAAUGUUCACGCUAUUCUAAUGUGAGAUGAUAAAUAUAUUCAUAUUUAGGCUUAUUCCUUUUUAGUAAAAUGUAUUAAUUAAAAGAUUCUACAUAUACAUUUUACACUAAAUUGUCUUCAUUUGGCUUCGUUAUUACAUCAUUAUUGUUAUCAUUAUUAUCAUGCUAUUAAAAUAAUGUAUGUGGAAUAAUAAUAUUUAUCAUAACAAUAAGAUAUAAUAAUAUAAACCAUACAAUAAAUAGUAUGGUAUCUAUAGUUAUUUUAUGCUCUUUUAGUAACUUUUAAUACAAAUUUUUUGUGCAAUUCAAUGAUAUUUAGAAAGAUGUUCCCUUUGUUACUGUGCCAUACUAAAGUCUUUAUAUACAUAGGCCUAUUCACUUUGAUGUUUCUAUUUCAAAUUUUUUUUUAUAACGUUUGCAUUGCUGUGUAUGAUUGUGCAUUAUUAAGGGGACACCAUUUUAAUCCCGAAGGUGUCACCUUAAUUGCAAUUCGUGUAAAGUAUAAUAGCUCAGAUGCAUGAACAGAAAAUAAACCCUAUUUUAAAUAUACUGAUCGACUUACAAAAUUAAUUUGUCGGAACUGUAAUUCAUGGCGGUUUAGGCUUCAGAACGGAGGGUCUAAAAUAGAAACGUUAAUACUUUACAGAUGAAACAAUAAAAUUUGCUAAUAAUAGACUUCUAAUAUAAGGGGGGAAAUACUUUAAUACGAAUACAGGUAGCUUACGGUGCAAUUCGAAACAUGAAUAUUAAUUUUUUUUUUAAACGACUUCAUUUUCAAUAACAAAUCUCAAAAUACUGCAAUAAGAAAUGUUCCAGGGUGCCGACAGAAGACAAAGAAACUCCUUCUCCCUCGUGAACCUUUACUAUUACAAUAAUAAUUAUGUUGAAGAUUACUAUUCCCAUUAUUAUGUAAACUACGGUAAAACAACUUCUAUAACAUAAUUACUAAAUGCCAAAACAUAUUUUAAACUGUCCUUUUUUAACUUAAUUUAUGGUAGAUAGACAAGACGUACAUAAGCAAAGUGAAUAUUCUGGGAAAAUAUCUUCAUGAUUGUUCUGAUCAAAUAUUUAUUGGGCUACUACAUAAUAAUAUUGUAAAAUUCGUAAUUACAAUUUGUAAAGACGAAGUAGCAUAUUAUGUAUAUACAGUAGUGGGAUUUAUACAUUUUAUAUAUUUAUUAAUAUUUAUAUACCUGAACU